rnacentral:rRNA from 1 species
UGGGGAAUUUUGCACAAUGGGGGGAACCUUGAUGCAGCGACGCCGCGUGAGGGAUGGAGGCCUUCGGGUUGUGAACCUCUUUCGCUCGUGUGCAAGCCGCUAUUUGGGUAGUGGUGAGUGUAGCGGGUAAAGAAGCGCCGGCUAACUACGUGCCAGCAGCCGCGGUAAUACGUAGGGCGCGAGCGUUGUCCGGAUUUAUUGGGCGUAAAGGGCUUGUAGGCGGUUUGUCGCGCCUGUCGUGUAAUCCUCUGGCUUAACUGGGGGUGUGCGGUGGGUACGGGCUGGCUUGAGUGCAGUAGGGGAGGCUGGAAUUCCUGGUGUAGCGGUGGAAUGCGCAGAUAUCAGGAGGAAUACCGGUGGCGAAGGCGGGUCUCUGGGCUGUUACUGACGCUGAGGAGCGAAAGCGUGGGGAGCGAACAGG